AGCACCCAAGUAGGGUUGAACAAAAUAACACUGCAAAGAUUUUGAAACAUAGGCUGACAUUCAAAUAAGCUAGGUGAUAUUUUCUGCACCUAAACAGACCAUUACCUACUAAAACAGAAGAUUUAAAGAGCAAUCAGAGUUUCAAGACAGAGUGUUUUUAUAGUCUAUAAUGCAGUCCAAAAUUAUAUGUCAUGCCAAGAGCCAAGGAAUUCUCAGUGGCGAUGAUCCAGCUCUUAGAAGGCUUUUAAGACAACUAUCAAAGCAAGGUUUCAGCAAGAUAUUACCAACACUUUUGAAACAAAUGGGAAAAUAGAAAUUUUUAGAAAACAAUGGUAAAUUCCCAGGAGUGGGAUUCCCCAGGUCACACGGCAUGGGUGAGAAAUCAAUGGAAGGAAGUCAACACAGGAGACAGCAGCAGACAUGGACAAAGUCUAUGAUAGCCUUGCCAAUACCUUGAAACAACUCAUCUUGGGAGCCUGGCUUCCUCUGGACUUCCAGUUAGUGAAGAUUUUAAAAACGUUACAUAUUAAAUCAGGUUUUCUCUCAUUUACAGCCCAAGAUAUUUUUACUGACAGACUACCUUUAAUUGUUGCAUUAGGAACCUCAACAGCUGCAAGCAACAGAAACCUCCUGAACAAUGGUUUACUCAGAAAUAGGACAUACGGAGGUAGAAGGUCUAGAGUUGCCAUACUGACUGGAUUUUAAGUUUCUUCUACCAUUUUGCUGGUGCUUAUUUAGCAUGUGCCUUUUACCUUACUUCAGUAGUUAGCUGCCUCAUUACUCAUAUUUCAAUCAAGGGGGUAAAAGUCCACAUAUAAUCAGUACUUUCCGCCCCUUCUCAAUUGCUCUCUCGGAAGCAUCUGCCAACAAUGACCACUUGUGUUUCAGUGGACAGAACUGUCAGGGCCACUCAACAAGCAAGAGAAGCUGGAAAAUACAGGUUUUCAUAGCUGAACCUAUUCACACCACCAUAACCAUCAGAAUUAUAUUUGAAAGGUAGAAGAAUGACAGGCAAAGCAGCUCUCUCUGGCGCAUUCCCAAGUUUUUAUCUCUAGCUCAGAUCUCCCUUCUGAUCUCCUAACUCCAAUAUCAAACAUGCAACUUAAUCUCUGAGUUUGUGGAUGAUAAACACUUCAAACUGAAAAUGCAUAAAACAACAAAUGAUCACAACAGGCCAUCUGUCCCUCUGUGAUUUUAGGUGUCAUCUUGGCUGGGCCACAGGGUAUCUAGACCUUCGGUCAAACAUUAUUCUGGGUGUGUCUGUGAGGGUGUUUUUCUAUGAGAUCAACAUUUGAACCAGGAGACUGAGUUACACAGCUUGCCCACCCUAAUGAGGAUGCACCUCAUCCAAUCAAUUUAAGACUUGAAAGAAAAAAAAAAGCUGAGUAAAAGGGAACUCCUUCUACCUAUGUGAGGUGGGACAUCAGUGUUCCGCCCGCGCCUGCACCUGCACCUGCACCAUUCACUCUCCAGGGUCUCCAGCCAGCCGAAGAUCUGGAACCUUUCCAUCCUCCAUGGGUGUGUGCACGGAUUCUUUAUCAUGAAGGAUUCUGGUUGUGUAUAAAACCCAAACUAACACACCCUCCCCAAGCCAUCCUCAGCUCAGUAAAUAAUACCGUGGCUUAACCAUUCAGCGAUGCUGCCAUUGACCCUAACGCACUGGCAGAAACCUAGAAAACAUUCAGCCAGCUUUGUCUCACCCCUUACCCUGUGUGACAGUCAAUUGUACCCAUCAUUUUGACUAGAUUAAGGAAUACCUACAAACCUGGGAGAGCAUGAUGUGAAGUCUACCUGUGAGGGUGUUUUGAAAGAGAUUAGCAUGAGUCUUAGUGGGCUCGGUGGAGAAAACCAGCCUUCAACAUGGGCAGAUACCACCCGUCGCAGAGGGGUCCAGAGAGAAUCAACACAGAGGCCUAAUCAGUCUCCUUCUGUGACUUUCCUGCUUAGGACAUCACACAAGCUUGCUGGCUUUUGUAUUGCAAGAGCUCACCAGCACCUCCCCUGCUGGUCUCAGGGUUUUGACCUCAAAGUGGGCAUUGCACCAGUGAUUUGCCUGAUUCCGAGGUCUUUGGACCUGGACUGAGCCAUAUAACCAGUAUCCCAGGAUGGGUACCCUACAGGAAAUUUAUAGGAUUCUCAGCUGCCAUUGUCACAGGAGACAACUCCCCCAGUAAGUCCCCUAUUGUAUGUCCCUGUAUAAAUCUGUUUCUUUCAAAGGAACCUCAAUAUACCAUGCAUUGAAUUUAUCACAAUAGUGAGUGAUUUCUUCCAAGGCAUUUCAAAUCAACCCAUUUCUCUACAUUCCCAAGGCCACUGACUUGGACCAGUCAUUGUGGCCUCACAAAGACUUCUCAGAUGUCCUCUGAUUUCCUGUUUGCAUCCUUUAUCCAACUCAAUACAAUUUCCAGGUAGCUCUUAGAACUUUUGAAGCUAUUAUGCAUAUGACAGUCUCCUCCUCAAAAACUAUCCAGUGGCUCACCAUGGCAUUGUAUCUUACCAAGUUCUACAAAACCACAUAAAGUGAUUCCUCUUCGUCUUUCCCAUCUUGCCUCACUCCCCUUCUUGCUCACACCAGUCCUGUGUUUUUCCAACACACUGAUCCCUGGGCACUGUCUGGAAUAUCUAACUCUAGUUUUUUUCAUGUGCCAAGUUUAUUCUCACCAUUUAUAUCUCCUCUGGUUGGCUUUGCAAGUUCCUUCUACUCAAUAUUUCAUUUCUUAGUCAUUUAGCCCUUAAUAACAGUUAAUUGCAACCUAUAAUGCUAAUGGAUACUUCUUUUUCAUUCACUACUAUCUCAUUCCUUAACUAGAAUAUAAGCUCCAUCAAGACAAGGAACUAGUCUUUGGAGUUAGCUUGGAUAGGUCUAAUUCCCAUACAAUGCCAACACUUAGUCAACAUAAAAAAAGCUUGCUUAGUGAAUUCAUUUGUUCAACAAAGAUGUAUUAAGAUCAUACAAAUCACUGGGGAUACAGCAGUGAACGAGAAGGCCAAAGUCAUUGUCCUUAUGGAUUUUACAUCUAUCAAAAGAAGGCAGAGCUUAGACACGUAGUAUGUCAGAAGUUCUUUGUUAUCAAAAGGGUCCACUGAACACUUGUUCGGAGUAUUUUUUUUCUCAGGACUUAGAAAAGAAUUGGAUGUGAGGGAAACCCUAGCAAAUUUGGCACACACCAAACCCUCCAAAUGAGCCCUUCACUUUUACGAAUGCUGAAAUGAGAUGUCAGUUACCCUGACACAUACUCAAGAGGCCAAGAUCAUCCCUGGACCACUGGGAUCUAAAUCCUGUUGACAGUGAUAAUGACAAGAUAGACAAAUACACAAUACACAAACUGUGAAGAUUCACAAUGCUGAUUAUGCCAAGGCCAGAAGAGUAAUACGAUGGAAUGUCAUAUGCUGAUCACAAAAGCCAAAAUGCUAAACCAAAAGGAAGCUGGAGAUGUGUUGAAAAAAACAAAAAUGGAAUAAACAGAACACCAGAUUCAAUCGCUGCCUGACAGCAAAGCUGAUGUCGGACUGGCCGCCUGCUGUGGGAACAUUCAGGACAAAUGGCGUGCCGUCCCAUACUGUCGCACAGGCUGCUUGCCAAGGCAGACUUGCACACAUAGCUGAGCCUCCCCUGCCAAAGCAGGUGACGCCCUCACUCCAUGUGUUCAUAACUGCUUCAUUCUCAAGAAACCCAGGACUAAAUAAUUCCAACAUCAUUCACAGCGGAUGAAAUUCACGACCUAGUUCAGACUAUACGGUUAUUUUCCCAGGAUUUCUUGCUCAGAUUUAAAAUAUUCCGCGUGUUCCCAAGCUCCAGUGACAUCUUGGAGACACUCCCUUCAGCCUCAGGGUAUUCCAUGCUUGAGAAAGCCUCCUUGGCACAGAGUCAGCACAAAUCACAUAGAAGUGUUACAGAAGACACCUAUGGUAAUCCUGUUGUUAAAGCCAACGUUUAUUAAACUGGGUACGCCACGAAGAAUUGUACUAUGCAUUUUAUUCAGUCGUCACAGCUGUCUGUGUGAAGAUGCAAUUAUCUUCCCUAUUUGACCAAACUUGGAAAUAGGCAAGGAAGAGACCUAUCUGAAGUGUAUAAUCUCUGUUGUUUUGAGGCUACAGGAAAACAAAGGGGAGCAAAGGGUGCGAAGGGAAGCAGGAUAUCAAACAGUAACGUAAUCACCUCUGCUUUUAUUUUAUGCAUUUUACCAGUACAGAAUUCAAGCUGACCAUAAAGCACAAAUAGUUACAUUAGGAAAUCAUGGAAAGAAAAGCAAAAAUCAAAAUAAAACAAAGCAAACACACCUUACAUUAUAUAUAAAUAACAACUCUGAAUGCAUCAAAAUUCUAAAUUAAUACAAAAUUAUCAAGUUUCUAACAAAAUUUAAAAAUCCAUGGGCUUUUGUUAAGGAAAUAUUUCUUAGAGGCAAUGCCAAGGGCAAAAUCUUUCAAAUCAUAAAUUGACAAACUUGUCUUUAUCAAAAGUAAAACUUUCAGAACCAGUCACAAACUGAGAAAAUAUUUGCAAAGAUUGUACCUGAGGAAGGACUUAUACCUGUAAUAUAUAAACUACACUCAAAAAUCAGUAAGAAAUCAAUUUUUAAAUGGGUAAAAUAUUCUAAUACUUCAGUAAACCAAUGGAGAUACACACACAC